GGAGUUAGCCGGUGCUUCUUCUGUGAGUGAUGUCCUUCCUGCCGGCUAUUAACCCGCAGGCCUUCUUCCUCACUGAAAGUGCUUUACAACCCGAAGGCCUUCUUCACACACGCGGCAUGGCUGGAUCAGGGUUGCCCCCAUUGUCCAAUAUUCCCCACUGCUGCCUCCCGUAGGAGUCUGGGCCGUGUCUCAGUCCCAGUGUGGCUGAUCAUCCUCUCAGACCAGCUACGGAUCGUCGCCUUGGUGAGCCGUUACCUCACCAACCAGCUAAUCCGACAUAGGCUCAUCCGAUAGCGCGAGGCCCGAAGGUCCCCCGAUUUCCCCCGUAGGGCGUAUGCGGUAUUAGCCUGGGUUUCCCCAGGUUAUCCCCCACUACCGGGCAGAUUCCUAUGCAUUACUCACCCGUCCGCCGCUCGCCACCAGGGAGCAAGCUCCCCGUGCUGCCGCUCGACUUGCAUGUGUUAGGCCUGCCGCCAGCGUUCAAUCUGAGCCAGAAUCGAACCCUGA
rnacentral:rRNA from 1 species